AGAGAUCCCAUUGUUGAAAGUUUUAAACUGAUUGCAUUCAAUCAACUCGACGCACGCUUUCAGACAGUGUUCGUGUGGGUCUCCGCGGCACGGCCCGGGGCAGAGCGCCCCCCCGCGCCGACAAGCGCGGCCCGCCGAAGCAACGGGUACAAUAGACAGAUGGAGGUUGGGCCCAAGGACCCGCACUCGGUAAUGAUCCUAGGUGAACCUGGGGAAGGAUCAUUACCGAGUGCGGGUCCUUUGGGCCCAACCUCCCAUCCGUGUCUAUUGUACCCUGUUGCUUCGGCGGGCCCGCCGCUUGUCGGCCGCCGGGGGGGCGCCUCUGCCCCCCGGGCCCGUGCCCGCCGGAGACCCCAACACGAACACUGUCUGAAAGCGUGCAGUCUGAGUUGAUUGAAUGCAAUCAGUUAAAACUUUCAACAAUGGAUCUCUUGGUUCCGGCAUCGAUGAAGAACGCAGCGAAAUGCGAUAACUAAUGUGAAUUGCAGAAUUCAGUGAAUCAUCGAGUCUUUGAACGCACAUUGCGCCCCCUGGUAUUCCGGGGGGCAUGCCUGUCCGAGCGUCAUUGCUGCCCUCAAGCCCGGCUUGUGUGUUGGGUCGCCGUCCCCCUCUCCGGGGGGACGGGCCCGAAAGGCAGCGGCGGCACCGCGUCCGAUCCUCGAGCGUAUGGGGCUUUGUCACAUGCUCUGUAGGAUUGGCCGGCGCCUGCCGACGUUUUCCAACCA
rnacentral:rRNA from 1 species